CAACCCAGGAAUAACCGAAAGAAAAAAUGUAAAUGGGCGGACCCAAACGGUCCAACGGGCCCAACGGGCGAAAAUUGCGGGUUCAAUUGGUUUUAAAUGGGCGGUCCGGGUAGAAAUGACUGGACCGCGGGUACCCUGACCCACCCGAAGCCCAUUUUCCAAAAGAUGUUGUUUUCAUAACUCAGCUCUCAUUUCCCUGUUCCCUCAUUUUUUUCACUUUAACGCAAACACUCUCUCUCUCUGUCUCUCAGAUGAAUGAAACCCUAUUAGAGCGAUCUCCACUGUUUCUCUUCUAUUUUCAUCAAUCACCACCACCGUUGCUCACCCUCAACUCCACCACAAGGAACCCCUAGCCAACCACCAUAACACACAGUUACUCUCCUUCACCGACACCACUACUCGAACAAGAAGAACACACACCAUCUCCUUCUCUCACCGACCUUCAUGAACACCAUUUGAAGUUAAGAUCUUCGGUCUACCAUUGUUCUUCUUUCAUUUGCAAGAUAUUGCAGUUAUUGAAGAGGGCUUGUAUUCCAGUGGUUGGUUGAACAGAGGGCCAAAUUGAAGUUGUGAUCUUCGAUCUAAUUUGUUGUUUUGAUUUUUGAUAUUGUUGUUUUGAUUUAAACAAAUGGCUCAAGGUCAAAGUAGCAGUAUGGAAAAAGUUUUAGAGUUGGGGCAAUGUAACUGUAAGUGUAUUAAACUCCUUUCAAUAUUGUUUGUAUGAUGGAUCAAGGUCAAAGUAGCAUGGAUGAUUGGUUAGUUCACAAUUUUGUAUGGGCUUGACAUUUCAUUUGAAUGUGUUGUUUGAUUGUUUAAGCUAGGUAAAAGAAUGGUCUAUAAAGUUAUUCUCUCCUUUACAGUAAAAUAUCCAACUCAGUGCAAAAGCUACUUUAUCACUCUUCGUUAAAUCAAGAUUUGGAUUCCAAAAUAUUUGGCAUGACAGUAGCUAAACAGGAUGUUUGAUUUACCUUUUGGAGUGUCCAAAGAGAUUUUUAUACCAUGUUAAUUUAAGGGUCAAUUCCAUGUAGUGUGAAAUGGCUGGCAUUUUUACAAUGUUAUAUAGGGAUAAAUAAAGCUAAAACCUGAAGGUGCUACAUCUGUGUUUCUGGAUUUCUUAAUUGCAGUUUUUUUCUUUGUUCUUUUAGCUAGUUCAUAUAUUAUUUAUAAAAAUUAUAACUUCCACUUUGUUCUUUGUUCUUUGUUUAUUACUUGUUGAUGGUUCAUGAACUUUAAAAAGCUCAAUUAUAUAUAUGGUUUUACACUUUGUUCUUUUAGCUAGUUCAUACAUAUACUCUGCUGGUACUUUCUAAUUGGUCACCUUUAGCUAGUUCAUACAUAUACUCUUUUUAAUAAAUGUACAUGACAGGGCUCAUGAAGAUAUGGUUGCAUAGCAACAUUCUUGGAAUUGAAAAAGAUAUAUCAUAAAAGUUCUGUAAAAUAUUGGAUACAUAGAUAUACAAUAAAAGAUGAAUAGUUGCUUUCA